AUUGAACGCUGGCGGCAGGCCUAACACAUGCACGUCGAACGAGUGGCGGACGGGUGAGUAAUGUCUGGGAAACUGCCUGAUGGAGGGGGAUCACUACUGGAAACGGUCGCUAAUACCGCAUACCAUCCGAUGUUCCCAGAUGGGAUUAGCUAGUUUGUGGGGUAACGGCUCACCAAGGCGACGAUCCCUAGCUGGUCUGAGAGGAUGACCAGCCACACUGGAACGGAGACACGGUCCAGACUCCUACGGGAGGCAGCAGGGGGGAAUAGUGCGCAAUGGGCGAAAGCCUGAUGGAGCAAUGCCGCGUGAAUGAAGAAGGCCUUCGGGUUGUAAAGUACUUUCAGCGGGGAGGCGUUACCCGCAGAAGAAGCACCGGCUAACUCCGUGCCAGCAGCCGCGGUAAUAC
rnacentral:rRNA from 1 species